rnacentral:tRNA from 1 species
GGGGGUAUAGCUCAAAUGGUAGAGUGCAUGCUUAGCAUGAACAAGGUCCUGGGUUCAAUCCCCACUGCUGCCU